GCAACGUGGUGGCACAUGCCUGUAGUCCCAGCUAAUCGGGAGGCUGAGGUGGGAGGAUUGCUUGAGUCCAGGAGUUCUGGACUGUAGUGCGCUAUGCCGAUCAGGUGUCUGCACUAAGUUUGGCAUCAAUAUGGUGACCUCUCGGGAGCGGGGAACCACCAGGUUGCCUAAGGAGGGGUGAACCGGCCCAGGUCGGAAACAGAGUAGGUCAAAACUCCCAUGCUGAUCAGUAGUGGGAUCGAGCCUGUGAAUAGCCACUGCACUCCAGCCUGGCAACAUAGCGAGACCCCCAUCUCA
rnacentral:SRP_RNA from 1 species